GAAAUGAGGCAGGAGCCAUACAUUUGGGAGUGGAGCAGCCGCCACUAAAGACUGCUAAAAGUACCUGAAGGGACAAAGGAACUGAGCAGGGGGAAAGUCCAGGGCUGAGUCCAGACUAAGACAGGAGUCUGGUCUGUAAAGAGAAAUAACUGGAAAUCUCAGCUACAGAAACCCUGCAACUUGCCUAAAAACAACAUUUAGGGUGAGAAAUUACUUCUUGAAUCCAGUCUAUUUAAGAUUUUAGGCUUAGUAUGCGAGUUUGUUUUAUUUGCUUAGUAAUCUGCCUUCUUCUGUUUGCUAUCUCUUAUAAUCACUUAAAAUCUUCUCUUAUAGUUAAUAAACAAAAACAAGUUUAUUAAACCCAGUUUUUGCAAAUUCUAACUGGGGGGGCAAAAGUUGUGCAUAUCUUCCUUCACAUUGAGGGAGGGGGUGAAUUUAUGAGCUUAUUUUGUAUAGAUUUCUCUAUGGCCCAAGACAAUAUUAUUUUGGGUGUACUUUCCCGAGGGGAAUUGCAUUUGAGUGCUGGGUGAUUUCCUAGCUGAGUCUUCUCACAGAAAUCUGUUGACAGACUCUGUGUGAUUCUACAGCUGGUGCAUCCCUACAUGUGUGUGUGUGUGUGUGUGUUGCCAGAGGCUGGAGAGCCUAAGUCAGCAAAACGGGGAGAGGGAGGCCAAGCUAGUGUAGCAGGUAGGCUCAGUGAAAUCCCAGUAUAUCAGGUGGCAUCCUAGACCGGGGGUCAAACCCGUCACAGGGUGGCCCCCUGA